CUGUACAAAACUAUGUGAACAGACUUGGUUCGUGGGAUUUUAUAUUUCGUUUGGCAACCGAACAGGUGCAUGAACCAGAGACCACCCAGGAGCUUGUUAAACCUAGUUGACCGUUUGUAACACUUUCCACCACAGCGUGAGGACUUGAGGACUGACUUAAAAAGGUAGGCAGGCGGGGGGCGGGGCCUGACAGCCAAGAUGGCAAGUCGCACAUCCUAAGAGCUCCUGCUACAACCGGCAUAAGUGCGCUAAAACCGAGCAACAGAAACAUGUUAGCAGCACAGGGUGACCAGGAACAAACACAGAACACCAUGCCAAACAAAACGGUACCUGUCCGGCACCAGUACACUGCUGAAAAACCUCUACCGGCCAUGCGGCCUAAAUUAGAGAAAAGCCUGAAGCCCGGGAGAGGCGGACGAUCUCCCGGCACGGGUCAAGCUCACAAACGAGAGCCC